rnacentral:rRNA from 1 species
GAUGAACGCUAGCGGCAGGCCUAAUACAUGCAAGUCGAACGAUAUCAUGCAGCUUGCUGGAUGAGAAAGUGGCGCACGGGUGCGUAACGCGUAUGCAACCUACCUUUAUCAGGGGGAUAGCCCGGAGAAAUCCGGAUUAAUACCGCAUAAAAUCACAGGAUGGCAUUAUCCAAUGAUCAAACAUUUAUGGGAUAAAGAUGGGCAUGCGUGUCAUUAGCUAGUUGGCGGGGUAACGGCCCACCAAGGCGACGAUGACUAGGGGAUCUGAGAGGAUGGCCCCCCACACUGGUACUGAGACACGGACCAGACUCCUACGGGAGGCAGCAGUAAGGAAUAUUGGUCAAUGGGCGGAAGCCUGAACCAGCCAUGCCGCGUGCAGGAAGACUGCCCUAUGGGUUGUAAACUGCUUUUAUCCGGGAAUAAACCUGCUUACGUGUAAGUAGCUGAAUGUACCGGAAGAAUAAGGAUCGGCUAACUCCGUGCCAGCCGCCGCGGUAA